GCAUGUCUGGGAGGGAUUAUCCAGAAGUGGUUAAGUGAGGUGGGAAAAGCACCUUCCCUCUAGGCAGCACCACUCCAAGAGCCAGCUGGGUUCUCGGGCUUAAUAAAAAUGAUGGAGGCACCACCAGGCAUCCAUCCCUCUCUGCCUCCUGACUCCAAAUGCAGUGCGACACAACGUACGCAUGCGCCUGACGCCAUGCCUUCCCAGAUGUGAUGGACUGUACCUCUCACCGGUUUUAGAUGACUUUAUUCAUCAGAGCACACAUAAACAAAUGGAAGCCCGCCUUGGGCAACACCCUGCCCUGGGACAUAAAGUCUCAGAAGAACUAAAUACGUCUUCCCACUGAGGCCCAACCAGACAGUCCAGCUAAGGGAAGAGGACCUGAUGGCAGAUGGGACUCCAAACAAACCCAUGCAACCUCUGAGAAAGAGAACUUGAAUCCUGCCGCUCUCCACCAGUCUGCAUUGACGUAAGUUUGCUACCUCAUCCAUUCAAUGCUUCAGGGGUCAUGGAAGUGGAGAUGUAGCUGGAGACCAACAAAGAUGGACACUUGCUGAGAAAAAAGAGAUGGUGUCUUCUCAGGCAAAAGGAAAACAAAAUGGAAUUCAGAAUGUAUCCCUAUUGUCCAAGUCUCUGUGCGCCAAGGACCUGGAAGCAAAUGAAAAAUUGUUUAACAGAAUCGUGCCCACUUUUCUUUGUGGUUCAAAACAAGAUACCCUGACUACAAGAGGAUCUUCAACCAGCAUGGAAGAUACCCACCUUCAUAACAUGUGACUAUAUCAACUUUGGUCUGUUUCUGCUCCAGUUCCUGCAUCUCAGUAAUCCCAAAGGAAAACAAGCAUGAACUACCACCUAAGACAAGUUGUCUGAAGCCAUUCAUCCUAUAACCAAACACAACAAUUCUGCUUACAUAUCAUGGGUUGAAAUCUAUUCCUAUACAGAUAGGGGGAAUGUGGCCCAGCUAUGAAGCUCUAAAUGGUAGGAAAUGGUGGUUGAUGAUCUGGUUAACAGUCUGCUUUACCAGUUGAAAAUUGCAUUAAACACUUCAGUUUGUUCAAA